GCACUGAUGGUGUAUUGUACACCCGCUGGUAUAAUAAGUUCGUUCGAAUGGUUACAUCGGCGGUCUGGGGUUCAAUUCCCCGUCGGUGCA